CACUGCUCCAUCUGCAGGUGGAGUACCUGGAGGAUGUCAUAAACUACAUCGUAUCCACACUGGUGCUGCCCAAGAUCAAUGAGAGGCUGCGUAGAGGCUUCCCUCUCCCUUUGCCUGCUGGGAUCCAGUUCAGCGACUUCACGUUUUACCCCUACCAGAAUUUCCUGUUGCUUGAAGCGGAUUUACACCUUAUCUGAGAUAUCACCUCGGACCCUGGGCCAGGAAGCUAUGCAGCUGCUCCCAUCAUACUCACCGGCUGUCCUGCUCCAGGAAUCCUUUAGUCUUUGGCCCUGACCUGCAGCCUCCUGCUUGCUUCCCCAUGCUGAAGCUGAGGGGAAAGCAGGAGAUCUGUGUACCAGGGGUCCUGUGCCUCUUUCAGAGCAGCCCCACCGGCGUCCGCAUUUCCGCUGGAGCUGCGACAUUACUUUGGGCUUUACAAGAACACCCAUUUU